AGAAGAGUGGUCAACUUGCUUAGGAGAGGGAGUUUCCUUACCAAGAGUUCCCCCCACUGAUAUCUCUAGACCAAAAGCGGCAAUAAGGACCACUCUGCUAGACCUUUCAGUACCAUCGUUCAGUCAUCAGUAUGUUUGUGUACAAUAACUCCUAUAGAAGUGCUUGCCAGUGUAACAUUAUUUCUAAAGAUCAAGGAAACUGAGGGUCAGAGAGAUGAAGAGGAUGGGCCAUGUUCACACAGCUUGUAAGUGGCAAAACCAAGAUUCCAACCCUUCUGAGUCCAGGU
rnacentral:lncRNA from 1 species